GAAAAUAGUUCAGUAAAAUAGGAAAAUAGUUCAGUAAAAUAGGAAAAUAGUUCAGUAAAAUAGGAAAAUAGUUCAGUAAAAUAGGAAAAUAGUUUUGUGUAAUAGGAAAAUAGUUCAGUAAAAUAGGAAAAUAGUUCAGUAAAAUAGGAAAAUAGUUCAGUAAAAUAGGAAAAUAGUUCAGUAAAAUUAUAAGGUACUUCAGUAAAAUGGUUCAGAAAAAAUAGGAAAAUAGCUCAGUAAAAUAGGAAAAUAGUUCAGUAAAAUAGGAAAAUAGUUCAGUAAAAUAGGAAAAUAGUUCAGUAAAAUUAUAAGGUACUUCAGUAAAAUGGUUCAGAAAAAAAUAGGAAAAUAGCUCAGUAAAAGAGUAAAAUAGUUUAGCAAGAAUAGUACAGCAAAAUAGUAAAAUGGUUCAGUAAAAUCGUAAAAUAGUCCAGUAAAAUAGUUAAGUGUGCCCUAAAAUACACAAAGUUUCUUAUAUUAUUACUCGAGAAAGUGAAAAAUAUUGUUCCCCCUAAAAAUAUACUCGUUUUCUUAUAUAUUCUUACUCAACAAAGAGAAAAA